CUUUAAAUAAAAAGGAUAAACAUGAUGGAUUUCCAUUAUCUCAAGCAAACUUUCAAUAUUGUGUGUUGCUUCUCUUAAAUGAGAUAAAAACCCAAGGAUGCAAAAAACUUAAUAUAAAAUAGUGUGAAGAAGAAGUAGUAACUGAAAUGAACAGCAUAAUAGAAUUUGAUAAGUUUGACUCAGCACUUGACAAUGUUUCAUCUAGUAACUCUGUAGUAUCUCUGCAGUUAAACAAAGAGUUCAAAAUAUUAGUGGUAAGAACUGUCAAAAACUUGUGAUAGCUAUGAUGAAGAGGUUAGUAAAUUAAAAGUGCAUUCCUAUAAAUACUCUGUUUAAUUUUAUAAUGAUAUUACUCCCAUCUUACAAUCCAUAAUACAAAUCCCAUGCAUGGCUCUACGUUAGCCGUUUUACCAUAAUGGGAUGACUGAAUAACCAUGAAUUUCAUACGCGCAAACUAGCAUCUGUGCGAAGCAGUUACAAAAACUAGCACCUGUGCGAAACACAAUGCCAAAUAGCAUAAGUGCAAAUGGGCAUAACUGCACAAAAAAAUUCCAAACAUUGGCAUACGAGCAAACUGCUGUAAGUGUAAACUGGCAUAUGUGUAAAUUGGCAUAAGUGCGCUAAAUAGAUUUACAAACAUUUGCAUAAGUGUGAAUUGCCAUAAGUAGAAACUGGUAUAAAUGUGAAGCAGUUGCAAAAACUCGCAAAAGUGCAAACAACAUAAAUGCGAACUGGCAUAAGUGUGCUAAAUAAAUUUGCAAAAUUUAGCAUAAUUCAAACUGGCAUAACUGCAAAUUAGCAUAAGGCAAAAUGCCAAUCAGCACUUAGGCCAAUGUUUGCAAAUUUAUUACACGCACUUAUGUCAGUUUGCACUUCUGCCAGUUUUUGUAACUGUUUUGUACUUAAUCAAACUUUGCACUUAUGCCUAUUCGUAAUGUUUGCUAACCUGUUUGGCGCACUAAUGCUUAUUUACACUUUUUCCAGUUAGCAAGUUUAAAGCUAUAGGUUAUCCUACAGCUUUAAACUUUAGUCCAGAUAAUUCUUUUAACCCAGAUAAUAUUCAUAUAUAUGACUACACUAAUGGUUGGUGUACACUUAUGAUCUAGACUACAUUAAUGGUUAGUGUGCUAUUUUUUAAAUAAUAGGUUAGAUUUUAUAGAUAAACUGUAUCGGUAAAUUAAAAUCUAAAUGAUUAAUUACAUUUAGAUUUUAUGACAAAAAAAGAAAAAAAUUUUUA